CAGCAGUAGCCACGGUAAUACGGAGGGCGCGAGCGUUACCCGGAUUUACUGGGCGUAAAGGGCGUGUAGGCGGCCUGGGGCGUCCCAUGUGAAAGGCCACGGCUCAACCGUGGAGGAGCGUGGGAUACGCUCAGGCUAGAGGGUGGGAGAGGGUGGUGGGAUUCCCGGAGUAGCGGUGAAAUGCGCAGAUACCGGGAGGAACGCCGAUGGCGAAGGCAGCCACCUGGUCCACUUCUGACGCUGAGGCGCGAAAGCGUGGGGAGCAAACAGGAUUAGAUACCCCUGUAGUCCCUGUCUCUUAUAC
rnacentral:rRNA from 1 species